UGCGAGUCGAGAGGGUUCGGCCCUCGGCUGACGGCUCAGUAACACGUGGAUAAUCUGCCCUAAGGUGGAGGAUACCCUCGGGAAACUGAGAAUAAUACUCCAUAGGUCUAGGAUGCUGGAAUGCACUUAGGCUCAAAGCUCCGGCGCCCUAGGAUGAGUCUGCGGACUAUCAGGUUGUAGUCAGGGUAAAGACCUGACUAGCCUACGACGGAUACGGGUUGUGAGAGCAAUAACCCGGAGAUGAUAUCUGAGACACGAUAUCAGGCCCUACGGGGCGCAGCAGGCGCGAAAACUUCACAAUGUGCGAAAGCACGAUGAGGGGAUCCCAAGUGCUUGCUCGUAAGAGUAAGCUGUUUCUAUGUUUAAAACGCAUGGAGAGUAAGGGCUGGGUAAGACGGGUGCCAGCCGCCGCGGUAAUACCUGCAGCUCUAGUGGUGGCCGCUAUUAUUGGGCCUAAAACGUCCGUAGCCGGUUUAAUAAAUGCCUGGGUAAAUCGUGUAGCUUAACUAUACGAAUUCCGGGUAGACUGUUAAACUUGAGACCGGGAGAAGUUAGAGGUACUCCUGGGGUAGAGGUGAAAUUCUGUAAUCCUAGGGGGACCACCAGUGGCGAAGGCGUCUGACUAGAACGGGUCUGACGGUGAGGGACGAAGCCCUGGGGCGCAAACCGGAUUAGAUACCCGGGUAGUCCAGGGUGUAAACGCUGCUUGCUUGAUGUUAGUCGGGCUCCGAGCCUGAUUAGUGUC
rnacentral:rRNA from 1 species